rnacentral:rRNA from 1 species
GACGAACGCUGGCGGCGUGCUUAACACAUGCAAGUCGAACGGAAAGGCCCUGCUUUUGUGGGGUGCUCGAGUGGCGAACGGGUGAGUAACACGUGAGUAACCUGCCCUUGACUUUGGGAUGACUUCAGGAAACUGGGGCUAAUACCGGAUAGGAGCUCCUGCUGCAUGGUGGGGGUUGGAAAGUUUCGGCGGUUGGGGAUGGACUCGCGGCUUAUCAGCUUGUUGGUGGGGUAGUGGCUUACCAAGGCUUUGACGGGUAGCCGGCCUGAGAGGGUGACCGGCCACAUUUGGGACUGAGAUACGGCCCAGACUCCUACGGGAGGCAGCAGUGGGGAAUAUUGCACAAUGGGCGGAAGCCUGAUGCAGCAACGCCGCGUGCGGGAUGACGGCCUUCGGGUUGUAAACCGCUUUCGCCUGUGACGAAGCGUGAGUGACGGUAAUGGGUAAAGAAGCACCGGCUAACUACGUG